GUCGCCUCAACCAACUCGGACGAGUUAUGAAGCGGCGGCGCCGAGUCAAGCCUGCGAGUUUUGCACUUUUGGGGAUGCACGGAACGGAACCGGCGUCAAGUGAAGAAACCCUAUGAAAGAGAAACUCCAUAUUUGUAAUGAAUUGCUAUGGAAAAUUGGAAGGACAGUUGUUGGAGUAUCUAAUCUAAUCCCACAAUUAAUCCCCCUAAUUAAAAUCUGAUUAAGGACUAAUUAACUAGCAGUUCAAACCAUUAGUGACACGGAAGUUGAGUUCAAUCCAUUUGUGUUUGCAGCGUUUGGGGUGUUCCGUUAUGUUUGCCGUCUCUGGUCCGUCACCGUUCCGUUCAGUGCGUUCGCGUUGUCCGAUACGUGCGUUCCGUCCGUUCAGUCGGUCGUAUUGGUAUACCAGGUUGCGUUUGGUUCCGUUGAAGCUUUAGUGGUUUGUUGCCAGGUGUGAAGGUAUUGGCUGAUAAUGUUCGUGGGAGAUAACUUAAAAACAUUUAUUACUUAAAAAUUUGAACAUGACUUUUGGAACUGAAUAUUGGAGUUGGCGCCUCCAAUUUGACGAACUGAACCUUCUUGGGAACUGAAUAUAUUAUUAUGACCAAAUAAGUUAAAAGAAAUAAAAUUGAGGUAAAAAUAGAAAAUGAUUGGAUUUAAGGAAUGAAAAAUAAAAGUUUAAUGUUAACAUGAAAACACCAAGGAAGCCGUUAUUCAGACUUGAAACAUUAUUUAAAUUUCAAAACACGAAGGUUAUUGAGACGAAGAAUGAUGUUGUGCUUUUAUAAAAAAUUAAAAAUAGGUAUAAAAAAAAGUAGAGUUCAAAAAAAAAAUAUUU